GAGCAAUCUGUGUGACUGCGUACCUUUUGUAUAAUGGGUCAGCGACUUAUAUUCUGUAGCAAGGUUAACCGAAUAGGGGAGCCGAAGGGAAACCGAGUCUUAACUGGGCGUUAAGUUGCAGGGUAUAGACCCGAAACCCGGUGAUCUAGCCAUGGGCAGGUUGAAGGUUGGGUAACACUAACUGGAGGACCGAACCGACUAAUGUUGAAAAAUUAGCGGAUGACUUGUGGCUGGGGGUGAAAGGCCAAUCAAACCGGGAGAUAGCUGGUUCUCCCCGAAAGCUAUUUAGGUAGCGCCUCGUGAAUUCAUCUCCGGGGGUAGAGCACUGUUUCGGCAAGGGGGUCAUCCCGACUUACCAACCCGAUGCAAACUGCGAAUACCGGAGAAUGUUAUCACGGGAGACACACGGCGGGUGCUAACGUCCGUCGUGAAGAGGGAAACAACCCAGACCGCCAGCUAAGGUCCCAAAGUCAUGGUUAAGUGGGAAACGAUGUGGGAAGGCCCAGACAGCCAGGAUGUUGGCUUAGAAGCAGCCAUCAUUUAAAGAAAGCGUAAUAGCUCACUGGUCGAGUCGGCCUGCGCGGAAGAUGUAACGGGGCUAAACCAUGCACCGAAGCUGCGGCAGCGACGCUGAUGCGUUGUUGGGUAGGGGAGCGUUCUGUAAGCCUGUGAAGGUGUGCUGUGAGGCAUGCUGGAGGUAUCA
rnacentral:rRNA from 1 species